rnacentral:rRNA from 1 species
AGGAUGAACGCUGGCGGCGUGCUUAACACAUGCAAGUUGAACGAAGAUGCAUGACAGAAGUUUUCGGACGAAAGACAUGUAUACUUAGUGGCGGACGGGUGAGUAACGCGUGGGCAACCUGCCCUACACAGAGGGAUAACAGCUGGAAACGACUGCUAAUACCUCAUAAGCGUACAGUAUCGCAUGGUACAGUACGAAAAGCCGAGACGGUGUAGGAUGGGCCCGCGUCUGAUUAGUUAGUUGGCAGGGUAACGGCCUACCAAGACGACGAUCAGUAGCCGGCUUGAGAGAGUGAACGGCCACAUUGGGACUGAGACACGGCCCAAACUCCUACGGGAGGCAGCAGUGGGGAAUAUUGCACAAUGGGGGAAACCCUGAUGCAGCGACGCCGCGUGAAGGAAGAAGUAUUUCGGUAUGUAAACUUCUAUCAGCAGGGAAGAAAAUGACGGUACCUGACUAAGAAGCUCCGGCUAAAUACGUGCCAGCAGCCGCGGUAAUACGUAUGGAGCAAGCGUUAUCCGGAUUUACUGGGUGUAAAGGGAGCGUAGGCGGCAGGGCAAGUCAGAUGUGAAAGCCCGGGGCUCAACCCCGGGACUGCAUUUGAAACUGCUCGGCUAGAGUGUCGGAGAGGUAAGUGGAAUUCCUAGUGUAGCGGUGAAAUGCGUAGAUAUUAGGAGGAACACCAGUGGCGAAGGCGGCUUACUGGACGAUAACUGACGCUGAGGCUCGAAAGCGUGGGGAGCAAACAGGAUUAGAUACCCCUGGUAGUCCACGCCGUAAACGAUGAAUACUAGGGUGUCGGGUUCCACAGGGGAUUCGGGUGCCGCAGCAAACGCAAUAAGUAUUCCACCUGGGGGAGUACGUUCACAAGAAUGAAA